GAUGAACGCUAGCGGCAGGCCUAACACAUGCAAGUCGAGGGGGAGGUUACUUUCGGGUAACUGAGACCGGCGUACGGGUGCGUAACGCGUAUACAAUCUGCCUCUCACUGGGGGAUAGCCCGAAGAAAUUUGGAUUAAUACCCCAUAGUAUAGUAAUACGGCAUCGUGAUGCUAUUAAAGCUUAGGUGGUGAAAGAUGAGUAUGCGUUCUAUUAGCUAGUUGGAGAGGUAACAGCUCCCCAAGGCGAUGAUAGAUAGGGGUUCUGAGAGGGAUGUCCCCCACACUGGUACUGAGAUACGGACCAGACUCCUACGGGAGGCAGCAGUGAGGAAUAUUAGACAAUGGUCGGAAGACUGAUCCAGCCAUGCCGCGUGCAGGAUGAAGGUCUUAUGGAUUGUAAACUGCUUUUGUAAGGGAAGAAUAAGGGCUACGCGUAGUUUGAUGACGGUACCUUACGAAUAAGCAUCGGCUAACUCCGUG
rnacentral:rRNA from 1 species